AAGCGAGACUCCGAGGGGACCACCAUGUGAGAAGCCCAAGCCAUGUGGGGUGGCUAAGGACGAGAGUGGGGUGGACACCAAGCAAUCCAUGUAAUCAUGGGCAGAGCUCAUAGUAUGGGUUGGCAUGAGCUGAGCAUUUUCUAGACCUUAGCUUACAUAAUUCUCACACUCAGUAAGGUAGGUAGCAGUGUUCUUACUCUGUACCUGGAAAAAUGGGGCCUAGUGGGUAAAUUACUUUGGCAAAGGUCACAUAGCUAAUUAAGCUGUAGGCCUGGGUUUUGAACCAGUUAUGAUACCGUGAUUCUUAGGGUCACGCUUUACCGUCACACUCUGUUGCUUUGUGUUUGGACCAGUGCACCAAUCGAAUGGGGUCAUCUACCAAAUAGGGUGCACUUCUCGUGGGUCUGGCUUCUCAAUUUUUCCAUAGAUUCAAGUUCUAAAGCUUAUAGGCAUGGAUUUUAAAUUAGCAAUCUCUCAUUUCUUAGCCCCUAACUUUAUUUGGAUAUCGUCUUCAAAAAUUUGGAACCAGUGUGUGCAUAUAUUUCUGGUGGAAGCAAAAAGUGCAAACCUGUCAGCAUCUGUUACUUAUAAUUGCUCUGCAUUAAAUUACAAUUUUUGGAUUUAAAAUUUGAAAAAGCAUGUUUCAGUACCAAGGGCUUGACGUGAGAAUGAACAAAAGUAGCAAGUUACUGAUACCCUCUGAGUUUUUCCUUAACAGAGAGAGAUGUGUAAAAACAGUCCCAAGUCAAGGAGAGGUGCCCCGUGCUUGUGUUGAGUCUUUGGAGGAGAAUGUGGAAUUCUGUAACUGUGCUGCUGUCGAGGACUAGAAUUACACAUACUUUCUUAAAUCUAGACUAUUUAAGGCUCAACCUGUGACCCCGCGUGCUGCUCGAUUCACGUUUCUGUCUCCAGUGGCUGCACCUGACAUCCUUGUGGCCAGGCCCUUGCAGAGGGAGAGCGGGGUAGAAGCCAGUGGCCCAUGCCCCGGCUUCCCUACUGGGGCCCUUCGAGGAGCCCAGCCAUCCUCACAGUGUAUCAUCAGAUGCGGGAACUCACACAGUGAGACCUGGACUAACUGCACAGAAGUCUGAGUAAAAGAUGUAAACAGGAUGCAUAGGAUGGUAAGGCUACUGUAGCAAAACAGCACAGAUGAAGCAGCUCAAACUGAACUUCAUUUCCCACAGCCUGGAGGCUGGAAGGCCAGGGUCGAGGUGCUGGUGGGACAGGUUCCACUGGGAGCCUGCUUGUCUUGCUUUGCAGGCAGUCACCAUCUGAUUGUAUGCUCACAGACUUUACGUGAACAGAGAGAGAGACAGAGACAGAGACAGAGACAGAAAUAGACAGAGAGACAGAGAGAGGGGGGAGAGGGCUAUGUCUCUCUGAUGAGAGUGAUGUCUCUACUUUGUUAUUUUUAUUUUUAUUUUUUAAAAUCGGUCUCACUAUGUAGCUCAGGCUGAUCUUGAACUCACUAUGGAGCCCAAGUUGACUCUGAACUUACUCUGUAGCCCAGGCUGGCCUCAAACCCACGGUGAUCCUCCCACCUCAGCCUCCAGAAUGCUGGUUAUGGGUGUGUGCCACUACACCCAGUGAGAUUUCUUCAUAGAAGAACACUGCUGGCCUUGAACUCAUUAUGUAGCCCACAUGGCCUCAAACUCAUGGAAAUCCUGCUGCCUCAGCCUUCCGAGUGCUGAUAGUACAGUGCUGGAGGCUGGAAGUUCAAGAUCAAGGUGCAAGUAGGACCAGGUUCCUCUGAGUCCUGGCUUCUUGGGUUGCAGGUGGUCACCUUCCUGCUGCCUGUAUUAUCCGGAAGCAGGGAGGUAAAAGGACAAUUUCAAGGUUUAAAGAAUGAAGCAACAACUCCACUAUGCAGGAAGGUGCUUUGGCAUUGGGUUCUUUGUGGGCAGAGUGGCCUCUCUCUUUUCUAUCAGGUAGAUGGUCCUGUCACCCACACUGGCUUCUUACUCUGUUGUGACCCUUUUUCAAUUUCAACACAGAAGACUUCCCCAUCCUUGAUUCCCAGGGCCCGGCACCGUGUGACUUCUGGCUCUUCCCCGAAGCAGGAUGACAAUGCAAGGUAAACAUUCUGAAUCAACUCAGGACAUCAAGGCAGCUAUAACAACACAACUCAAGACAUCCAUGAAAGAGGACUCCAGAACUGCUUCAGAAAGUGGUUCUAAGGAAUGAAAAACACUAACCCUGCAAUCCUUAUCACCAAGAACUGUGCACCCUAGUGACAUGUAAAGUUUCCUUCAACACUUUUAGGGUCAAGGUUCUAGCAAACAAAAAGGACAAAGAAAGAAAAGUAGAGCAAAAGAUGUUGUUUCUGUUGCUAAGAUUUCAGGAGAAGGGAUCAAACUGAGGACCUUGUGCUCGCGAGGAUCACACUGAACAGAGCAAGGAGCCCCCCGAAGUGCCUGCCCACUGCUUGUGCCCACCUCUGCCAGUCCAUCUUGGUCCCACUGAGGCUCCAGUGCACUUCAUCCUCAUGGGAGAGCCAACUACUCCUGGUCUAGGGUGUGGAUGUUUGAGCAGACCAUCUUCCUUAGAAGCUCAGAGUGUGGUGGGGAAGUUCAUGGUUAUAGCAGGGUAGAAGUUGAAAGAGCCUCUGAGGCUGGCUUUGGAAAGGGAAGAUGAGCUGUGAAAUAGUCUACAAGAAUGGCCAUGGUGGCCAGAAUGAGAAGUAUUGUCAGAGUCACGUGGGACUUUGAACAUUACCGUGUGACACAUGGAACUACUGAGCACUUGCUAAGGACACCCGGUUUACCUUCUCCAUCUCGUUUAACUCUUUCAAGGUACCGUGAAGAACUCCCAUUUCACAGAUGAGGAAACGGAGGCAGGAAGAGCAUGAGUCAUGUGGCCAAGGUUUCAGAUGAUACAUGGCAGAGCCAGGACCAGGGAUUGAGUCCACACAGACAGAGUGUGAGCUCCAAGUCCCGCUUCUCUUCAGCGUUAGAAUGGAGAAAUGAGAGAGACACACGUGGGACCACUACAUGCCUCUGCUCAAGAAUUGUGCAUUGCAACUGGGGAUGCCAGAGCUUUCCCGGUGAAAACAUCACCAUUUAAAAAUGCCAUCAUCCAAAUGUAUUUCCUGCUCAUUGGGGCCAAGCAAGAACAAUUAUGUGGUUCUACAGCACCAUGGGAACCCAACUCUCGCUGUGUUUCUGGCCAGCAUGAACAAGCUCUAUGGCCUUUCCUGUCUCCAAAAAACAAAAGCCUACAUGCAAGAAUUCUUUUGUUUGGAGACAGGAUCUUGCUCUGUAGCUCAGUCUGGCCACAAACUCGUGGCAAUCCUCCUGCCUCAGCCUCACAAGUGCUGGGAUUACAGGCCUGUGCCACCAGCCUGGCUUCGUGCAAGAAUUCUUAUUCAUAAGCUACAGUUUAUAAAGUUUUAUCAAGUGCCAACAUUAAAACCCAAUUUACUUAUUUCCCUUCAA
ensembl:lncRNA